rnacentral:rRNA from 1 species
ACGAACGCUGGCGGCGUGCUUCACACAUGCCAGUCGCACGGAAAGGCCCUGCUUGCAGGGUCCUCGAGUGGCGAACGGGUGAGUAACACGUGGGUGAUCUGCCCUGCACUUCGGGAUAAGCUUGGGAAACUGGGUCUAAUACCGGAUAGGAGCCAUCUUUAGUGUGGUGGUUGGAAAGUUUUUUCGGUGUAGGAUGAGCUCGCGGCCUAUCAGCUUGUUGGUGGGGUAAUGGCCUACCAAGGCGGCGACGGGUAGCCGGCCUGAGAGGGUGUACGGCCACAUUGGGACUGAGAUACGGCCCAGACUCCUACGGGAGGCAGCAGUGGGGAAUAUUGCACAAUGGGCGCAAGCCUGAUGCAGCGACGCCGCGUGGGGGAUGAAGGCCUUCGGGUUGUAAACUCCUUUCGCUAGGGACGAAGCUUUUUUGUGACGGUACCUAGAUAAGAAGCACCGGCUAACUACGUG